UUUUAGAGUUUGAUUCCCUGCUCAGAACGAACGCUGGCGGCAGGCUUAACACAUGCAAGUCGAGCGCCCCGCAAGGGGAGCGGCAGACGGGUGAGUAACGCGUGGGAAUCUACCGUGCCCUACGGAAUAGCUCCGGGAAACUGGAAUUAAUACCGUAUACGCCCUACGGGGGAAAGAUUUAUCGGGGUAUGAUGAGCCCGCGUUGGAUUAGCUAGUUGGUGGGGUAAAGGCCUACCAAGGCGACGAUCCAUAGCUGGUCUGAGAGGAUGAUCAGCCACAUUGGGACUGAGACACGGCCCAAACUCCUACGGGAGGCAGCAGUGGGGAAUAUUGGACAAUGGGCGCAAGCCUGAUCCAGCCAUGCCGCGUGAGUGAUGAAGGUCUUAGGAUUGUAAAGCUCUUUCACCGAUGAAGAUAAUGACGGAGUCGGAGAAGAG
rnacentral:rRNA from 1 species